UUGUGUUUUUUCCCUUCUAGAAAAGGGAAUAUGCUGGUAAAGAUAUAACAAUUUUAAAAGAUGGGGUUUCAUGAGACCUUUUUGUAGUUGCAGACGUGUUUCUGUAUAUGCUUUGCUACGCCAGUGCAGCCAUCUUACCUGAAAGGAACAUUGUGAGUGAUCCCCUCCAGCAGCUGCUCAGGAAGCUUGCUUAAAACAGGGAAGCUAGGCUGUUAGAAGAUUUAAAACUUCCCAUGUACAUUCCACUAAGCAAGCUACAAGGCAAAGAAGGGUUGUAUCCCUCAGUAUCAGCUUGGAUUGAUGGAAUGGUUUCGAUCUCCAUGACCACACUGGUGAUGAAUGGUUUACCACCUCUUGCUUCAGAUAACCUCUGUGCUUACACAGCUCACCCAGACACAAGACAGCACCAUGGAAUAGCUGCAAUGGUCUUGGAAUAUGAGUGGUUUUGAGGAUGAAAAGGA